rnacentral:ncRNA from 2 species
GGCGUCUCAUGGGGGUGCCCGGCCAUUCCGGAUCGGGCUGAGAGGCAGCCUGCCAACUCCUUGAACCUGAUCCGGCUGAUACCGGCGGAGGGACUUGAGAUCAUGACACUU